UACGUAGGGUGCAAGCGUUGUCCGGAAUUAUUGGGCGUAAAGAGCUCGUAGGCGGCUUGUCACGUCGACUGUGAAAACCCGAGGCUCAACCUCGGGCCUGCAGUCGAUACGGGCAGGCUAGAGUUCGGUAGGGGAGACUGGAAUUCCUGGUGUAGCGGUGAAAUGCGCAGAUAUCAGGAGGAAUACCGAUGGCGAAGGCAGGUCUCUGGGCUAGAACUGACGCUCAUGCACGAAAGCGUGGGGAGCAAACAGG
rnacentral:rRNA from 1 species